AUCGCCGCCAUUUUGGGCUGGGAGGAGGCAGCGGAGGGACUCGCUGCGCACAUCAAGAAAGAAAACCAAGGCACUAGAAAGCAAGCACACUUAAGUAUUGAAGAUAAUUACAUCUUAAAUUUUGCCUGAACUGUAUAUUGUAGCAUACUUAAACCCAUUCAAGGAAAAAAUUGGCAAAUUGAAAAUUCUCCCAUUAAAGAUUGAUAUUUUUGCAAACUGACAAAUUUAACGAUUUCGGUACCCCUCCCCAAAAAUGCAGUCACAUAAAAUAUAUCAAUACUAUUUUGAAUUAGCUCUAGAAAUCACACUGAAACUAUGUUACAUUUACAAAUAUUAAAUUUAUUAUAACUAAAAUGAAUUUAAUUGUUCUCAGAUUUGGCCACCUUAUAGCUCCGUUUAAGGAGGGGAUUUGUUAAAAACAAAAAUGCAUUAUAACUUGGUCAAAUUACUUUCACAUUAAGGAAAAAAACUUCUAAAAAGGAAAACAAGAAAAGCAACUCUUCAGUUUCACAUAAUUAAAAGAACAGGAGAAAGCACGCAAGCUACAUAUAGCUAAAUUUACGAAACCAA
rnacentral:lncRNA from 1 species